ACUGUGAUAUAUGUGAUAAAUCAUUUUCUUCAAAUAGCACUUUAACUCAUCACAAAUAUACACAUACAGGAGAACAGCCAUAUCAUUGUGAUAUCUGUAGUAAAUCAUUCCCUGGCAGUAGUGACUUGACUAAACGCAAACGUGUUCAUACAGGAAAAAAGCCAUAUCAGUGUGAUAUUUGUGGUUAAUCAUUUUCUAAAAAUAUCGUUUUAACUUGUCACAAAUGUAUUCAUACAGGAGAGAAGCUAUGUCAGUGUGACAUCAGUGGUAAACUGUUCUCCCCAAAAUGCCACAGGCAUUCACAUUUGGGUAUUCACACACAAGUCUAAGUGAAUCAAUGUCGGAAUGGAGUUUUGUCGGUGAACAGGUCGCGGUCUCAAAGCAACGAAAAUAUUUUGAUAAAUUAAAAUUAAAUGUUGAAGUGAAUCUAACGGUUUUUGUGUGUUUCUUAAAUGGCUUAUAAACACCUUCGACACUGGAAUUGUUUUCGUUCCAGCACACGAUCUCAGAUCAGGUCACUUGCUAUGCAAGUACAUCUCCGUGGUUGAGUUUAUUUUUCUUGCUAAAAGACUUGUGUUUUUUUCCCUCAUCAUCAAAUUUGUCAUCUGUAAAAAUAUUGACUCAGAAAUAACUUGAUUACUGAAAAUGCCUGCAGUUGGAUUUUGAGGAAUUUGUU